UUCUUUCCUUCUUCUUUUUGCUCGCUACCAGCAGCAUCCUCUCAACCGGUCUCCUUGCUAAGCCCGGUAUUUCAUCGGGUGCUUCAUUCAAGAACAAAUCUGUUCUAGAACGUCCUCUAUUGCAACCCGGAAUGAAGAGCCGGCUUACGUCACAGAUAGAGAGAGGGCCUGAGGGAGGGAGGGAGAAUAGAGGGAAUGGGGUGGACCAUCAAGACGCAGAGUCCACGCCACGCGCAUUCUCCUCCGAGGACGUGGCUCGAGAUGCUGCGUGGAUGCUAUUGCAGCUAAAGCAAUGGCGCUUUCUUCGAUACCAAGUGGAUCAAGUUGAGGUGACGCUAGAACGAAGGCUUGGCUUGCUUCCUACUCUUCCUUAGAAAUACGACAACUUUACAAAUAGGACCCGAAGCUUUUUGGGUGGAUUUACCAUAAUGCAUGUAUGCGAACCUACAAGUCCAAUUGCACAACACGUAGACGUUGGCCCACACGAAGACUUCUUCGGACUGCAGAGAGAUGAGGCAGAAGAUGAAAAAGAAGAAGCGGAGGAGUGUGGGUGGAAGGAGGGAUGGAUAGAUGGAUGGAAGACUUUGCGGGAAGCGGCUGAACCCGGAGCAGGUGAACACAGCUGCGAAUCUCCGUGACGGGAUCUCGCUGGCUGCCUUCCUCGCGCCGGGGCCCCCCGGCGAUUGCGUUCAAGGGUCCCGGCGAGCCGACAGGGGCCAGGCAGAGUGGGCAGGCGAGGGCGGGCCCGAGCCAGGAGAGAUGCAGGUGAGGCGGGCGAGCCGAGGCGCCCGCCGCCGCCGGCUAGGAGCCUCCGCGCUGUCAAAUCAAUAGAGGCUAGCAGAGGUUGGCCAGAACCGCCUGCAGGCCCCUUGGAGCCAUGGGACCGACCGCCAGUUCCCACCUCCAUCUUUUUUUUUUCCAACUUCCUCCAACAGUCCUGGGCCAGAGCCCUCACCCUUGCGCCCGGCCCACACACGGAUGUUUCGGUGUGGGCUCGGUCCGUAGAGAAUUUUUGAAACAUUGCCACUCAGAGGCGGGACUCAAGGGCGGAAAAAAGAAGAAGCAAAAAUGUGGAGGACAAAAAGCAAGAGUUUCUUCUUGAUUCGCAAAGGUGGGGGGAGGAGGAUGAACAGGACGCUCCAUCCGAGCCCAAUAUACCUUCAUCUCACAGGCUCGGAUGAAAGGACAACUUCUUCUCCAAUCUGCUGUAUUCUUUUAUUGCUUUAUAUUUCCUGAGCCGCACUAAGAGCAGCCGCCUUCAGAGGAUGUGGAAGUGCAGUAUUGAUCUGGAAGGUGGAGCGGAGAAAAAGAUGAGGGCUUUCACAGCUUCGUCUCCGCGUGGAAGCAGAAGUCAACUCCUCAUUGCUAAUGAAUGGCCGCUAAUGAGUCGACUUUUUCCCUCUCUCAUAUAAGACUCACCCUUUUUUUUUUUAAACCCCUGUAAAAAAAAAAAUCCAAAUGUGAAGACAAGUUGUGAGAUGGGACAUCGGUUCCUGAAAAGCUCAACACAGAGAGUUUCUGCUUUUUGGCUUGACAUGGACAGCACAGGGAUUGACUACGAUGGGGUCCUCGCCGCAUCCAAGUGAGGGCAAUAUGGAGCAUGUGAAGAUGAAGCCACCAUUUGUCGCCAUGACGAUGUGAAGCUGCACUCUUGGACGGGAACACAUGCAACUAAGUGCAAUCUUUAUAUUUAUAUGAUUUUUUUUUUUUUAUAUGUCCACAUUUAGAUGUGACAAGUUUGAUAUGUCAUGAUAUGAUUGGUCUUUUUGGAUGUGACUACUUUAUAUUGAAGAAGUUUCUAAAAGGUAUGUUUAAGAAUACUAAAUGAUCAAAACAAAUUGAUGUAUUUUUAGUACUGUAUCAUCAUUUAAUCAGAUUUUUUUAUUAUUAUAUUCAGAUUAUUUUGUCUAAUUAAAAGCAUGUAUUGCUAAAAUGUUACAAUUUGAUUUGUUGCCCUAGUUGGAAAGUUGUUUUUAAGAUAAGGAGACAUAUGGAAUUCAUUUGUUUUGCUUAGAAAAAGAAAAUUGCAAUUUUUUGUGUGAAAAAAAUGAAAAACAAUGAUCAUUUUUCCUCUCUUCAAUUGAUAAAAUUGGAUUUUUAAAUCAUAAAAACUAGGAUUACUUCUUUGGAAUGAUGGAAUGAUGUGAUUUCCAAUAAAUGCAUGACUUCAAACCACA